rnacentral:rRNA from 1 species
UACGUAGGUGGCAAGCGUUAUCCGGAAUUAUUGGGCGUAAAGAGCGCGCAGGUGGUUGAUUAAGUCUGACGUGAAAGCCCACGGCUUAACCGUGGAGGGUCAUUGGAAACUGGUCGACUUGAGUGCAGAAGAGGGAAGUGGAAUUCCAUGUGUAGCGGUGAAAUGCGUAGAGAUAUGGAGGAACACCAGUGGCGAAGGCGGCUUCCUGGUCUGUAACUGACACUGAGGCGCGAAAGCGUGGGGAGCAAACAGGAUUAGAUACCCA